rnacentral:rRNA from 1 species
GGAGGAGGCAAGCGUUGUCCGGAAUUAUUGGGCGUAAAGAGCGCGUAGGCUGUUUUUCAAGUCAUAUGUGAAAACCUCAGGCUUAACUUGAGGACUGCAUAUGAAACUGGAUAACUUGAGUGCAGUAGGGGAAAGUGGAAUUCCUGGUGUAGCGGUGAAAUGCGCAGAUAUCAGGAAGAACACCGGUAGCGAAGGCGGCUUUCUGGGCUGCUACUGACGCUGAGGCGCGAAAGCUAGGGGGGAGCAAACAGGAUUAGAUACCCUGGUAGUCCUAGCUGUAAACGAUGGACGCUAGGUGUGGGAAGUUAUCGACGCUUUCCGUGCCGGAGCUAACGCAUUAAGUGUCCCCGCCUGGGGAGUACGGCCGCAAGGCUA